CCCCUCUCAGGUCUGCACCUAGAGAGUUCCCAGUACUCUAUCAGUCUCGGCUACAGGAGGGAGAAUCAAGCAGAGGUAUGCCCAUUCCACUCCUAGCUUGAGCAGUGGCUAGUGAGGGGAAGGCAAUCUGCUACAAGU